rnacentral:ncRNA from 1 species
GGGUACCGCUUUUCCCCACAUGCACUCUCCGCCCGGUACGGCGGGGAGUGCAGUG